rnacentral:rRNA from 1 species
CGCGUAGGCGGACAGUUAAGUUGGGGGUGAAAGCCCGGGGCUCAACCUCGGAAUUGCCUUCAAUACUGGCUGUCUUGAGUGUGAGAGAGGUGUGUGGAACUCCGAGUGUAGAGGUGAAAUUCGUAGAUAUUCGGAAGAACACCAGUGGCGAAGGCGACACACUGGCUCACUACUGACGCUGAGGCGCGAAAGCGUGGGGAGCAAACA